UGCCAGCCGCCGCGGUAAUACGGGGGAUGCAAGCGCUAUUCGGAAUUACUGGGCGUAAAGCGCACGUAGGCGGAUCGACAAGUUGGGGGUGAAAUCCCGGGGCUUAACCCCGGAACUGCCCUCAAAACUGUCGAUCUAGAGACCGGGAGAGGUAAGCGGAAUUCCUAGUGUAGAGGUGAAAUUCGUAGAUAUUAGGAAGAACACCAGUGGCGAAGGCGGCUUACUGGACCGGUACUGACGCUGAGGUACUAAAGCGUGGGGAGCGAACAGGAUUAGAUA
rnacentral:rRNA from 1 species